GACGAACGCUGGCGGCGUGCUUAACACAUGCAAGUCGAACGGAAAGGCCCUGCUUUUGUGGGGUGCUCGAGUGGCGAACGGGUGAGUAACACGUGAGUAACCUACCCUUGACUUUGGGAUAACUUCAGGAAACUGGGGCUAAUACCGGAUAGGAGCUCCUGCUGCAUGGUGGGGGCUGGAAAGUUUCGGCGGUUGGGGAUGGACUCGCGGCUUAUCAGCUUGUUGGUGGGGUAGUGGCUUACCAAGGCUUUGACGGGUAGCCGGCCUGAGAGGGUGACCGGCCACAUUGGGACUGAGAUACGGCCCAGACUCCUACGGGAGGCAGCAGUGGGGAAUAUUGCACAAUGGGCGGAAGCCUGAUGCAGCAACGCCGCGUGCGGGAUGACGGCCUUCGGGUUGUAAACCGCUUUCGCCUGUGACGAAGCGUGAGUGACGGUAAUGGGUAAAGAAGCACCGGCUAACUACGUG
rnacentral:rRNA from 1 species